rnacentral:rRNA from 1 species
GGCACUGACUGCUUAUUGCACCACAUGUGUUUUUCUUUGAAACAAACUUGCUUUGGCGGUGGGCCCAGCCUGCCGCCAGAGGUCUAAACUUACAACCAAUUUUUUAUUAACUUGUCACACCAGAUUAUUACUAAAUAGUCAAAACUUUCAACAACGGAUCUCUUGGUUCUCGCAUCGAUGAAAAACGCAGCGAAAUGCGAUACGUAAUAUGAAUUGCAAAUAUUCGUGAAUCAUCGAAUCUUUGAACGCACAUUGCGCCCUCUGGUAUUCCGGAGGGCAUGCCUGUUUGAGCGUCGUUUCUCCCUCAAACCGCUGGGUUUGGUGUUGAGCAAUACGACUUGGGUUUGCUUGAAAGACGGUAGUGGUAAGGCGGGAUCGCUUUGACAAUGGCUUAGGUCUAACCAAAAACAUUGCUUGCGGCGGUAACGUCUACCACGUAUAUCUUCAAACUUUGACCUCAAAUCAGGUAGGACUACCCGCUGAACUUAAGCAUAUCAAAAGCGGGAGAAA